GCCCUACAUGUCUGUGGGUUCCCUGCGUGACCAGGUGACCUACCCGGACUCAGUGGAGGACAUGCGAAGGAAGGGCUACUCAGAGCAGGACCUGGAAGCCAUCCUGGACAUCAUGCACCUGCACCACAUCCUGCAGCGGGAGGGAGGUAGGAGGCCUGGGGAGGCUAUGUGUGACUGGAAGGACGUCCCGCCGGGUGGCGAGAAGCAGAGAAUCGGCAUGGCCCGCAUGUUCUACCACAGUACACCCUCCUGGAUGAAUGCACCAGUGCCGCCAUGAGAAUCAACGUGGAAGGCAAGAUCUUCCAGGCGGCCAAGGACGCAGGCAUUGCCCUGCUCUCCAUCACCCACCGGCCCUCCCUGUGUACCACACACACUUGCUACAGUUCGAUGGGGAGGGCGGCUGGAAGUUUGAGAAGCUGGGCUCGGCUUCCCGCCUGAGCCUGACAGAGGAGAAGCAGCGGCUGGAGCAGCAGCUGGUGGGCAUUCCCAAGAUGCAGCAGCACCUCCAGGAGCUCUGCCAAAUCCUGGGCGAGGCCGCGGCCCCAGCGCACGUGCCGGCACCUAGCCCACAAGGCCCUGGUGGCCUCCAGGGUGCCUCCACCUGA
rnacentral:lncRNA from 1 species